UACGAAGGGGGCUAGCGUUGUUCGGAAUCACUGGGCGUAAGGCGUACGUAGGCGGACGAAUAAGUCAGGGGUGAAAGCCUGGAGCUCAACUCCAGAACUGCCUUUGAUACUGUUCGUCUUGAGUCCGGGAGAGGUGAGUGGAACUGCUAGUGUAGAGGUGAAAUGCGUAGAUAUUCGCAAGAACACCAGUGGCGAAGGCGGCUCACUGGCCCGAUACUGACGCUGAGGCACGAAAGCGUGGGGAGCAAACAGG
rnacentral:rRNA from 1 species